AUUGAACGCUGGCGGCAGGCCUAACACAUGCAAGUCGAGCGGCAGCGGGAAAGUAGCUUGCUACUUUUGCCGGCGAGCGGCGGACGGGUGAGUAAUGCCUGGGAAAUUGCCCAGUCGAGGGGGAUAACAGUUGGCAACGACUGCUAAUACCGCAUACGCCCUACGGGGGAAAGCAAGGGACCUUCGAGCCUUGCGCGAUUGGAUAUGCCCAGGUGGGAUUAGCUAGUUUGUGAGGUAAUGGCUCACCAAGGCGACGAUCCCUAGCUGGUCUGAGAGGAUGAUCAGCCACACUGGAACUGAGACACGGUCCAGACUCCUACGGGAGGCAGCAGUGGGGAAUAUUGCACAAUGGGGGAAGCCCUGAUGCAGCCAUGCCGCGUGUGUGAAGAAGGCCUUCGGGUUGUAAAGCACUUUCAGCGAGGAGUAAAGGUUGAUGCCUAAUACGUAUCAACUGUGACGUUACUCGCAGAAGAAGCACCGGCUAACUCCGUGCCAGCAGCCGCGGUAACAC
rnacentral:rRNA from 1 species